CUUUUAGGCAUGUUAUUAGUUUAUUAAUUUGAAAUUAAGGCUAGGAGUAUUAACGUUUGUUGUAUAAAAAUAUAUUUCUACUAACCUUUACUAUUUUAUUCUAACACCUUAGCAUAAACUGGGGUUAGAGGCCCAUUAUACGGGGCUUAAAAAUAUUUUGGUAUUAAAAGAUGAAUCUCUAAACCUAAAGAACAUGGCAGUAUCUUAUCCCUGGCAGAGGAACUUGAAUAUUAAUCUGAUAAACCUCCCUAUCUCUUACUUAUUUUUAUUUUAUGUGUGGUUGUCUAAACAAAUAAAAAAUUAUACGUUUUAUGUCAGAUGGUAUGUAAAGAUAAAUAAGGUAAUUUUAGUUACAAUUAAUAACUUUAUUUAUGGAAAAUAGGAUUUGCUUGUACUAAAAAAUAAAAUUAAGAAAGGGUUUUAGGAUGUGUACAUAUUGUCCGUCACUCUCCCUUG
rnacentral:rRNA from 1 species